rnacentral:rRNA from 1 species
GAGUGAAGCGGCAACAGCUCAAAUUUGAAAUCUGGCUCUUUUAGAGUCCGAGUUGUAAUUUGCAGAGGGCGCUUUGGCUUUGGCAGCGGUCCAAGUUCCUUGGAACAGGACGUCACAGAGGGUGAGAAUCCCGUACGUGGUCGCUGGCUAUUGCCGUGUAAAGCCCCUUCGACGAGUCGAGUUGUUUGGGAAUGCAGCUCUAAAUGGGAGGUACAUUUCUUCUAAAGCUAAAUAUUGGCCAGAGACCGAUAGCGCACAAGUAGAGUGAUCGAAAGAUGAAAAGCACUUUGGAAAGAGAGUCAAACAGCACGUGAAAUUGUUGAAAGGGAAGCGCUUGCAGCCAGACUUGCUUGCAGUUGCUCAUCCGGGCUUUUGCCCGGUGCACUCUUCUGUAGGCAGGCCAGCAUCAGUUUGGGCGGUGGGAUAAAGGUCUCUGUCACGUACCUCUCUUCGGGGAGGCCUUAUAGGGGAGACGACAUACCACCAGCCUGGACUGAGGUCCGCGCAUCUGCUAGGAUGCUGGCGUAAUGGCUGUAAGCGGCCCGUCUUGAAACACGGACCAAGGAGUCUAACAUCUAUGCGAGUGUUUGGGUGUCAAGCCCGAGCGCGUAAUGAAAGUGAACGGAGGUAGGAACCCGUAAGGGUGCACUAUCGACCGAUCCUGAUGUCUUCGGAAGGAUUUGAGUAAGAGCAUGGCUGUUGGGACCCGAAAGAUGGUGAACUAUGCUUGAAUAGGGUGAAGCCAGAGGAAACUCUGGUGGAGGCUCGCAGCGGUUCUGACGUGCAAAUCGAUCGUCAAAUUUGGGCAUAGGGGCGAAAGAC